rnacentral:piRNA from 1 species
UCCAACUCUAAAUACUAUUUAUAAGCUAUGU